rnacentral:rRNA from 1 species
UACGUAGGGUGCAAGCGUUGUCCGGAAUUAUUGGGCGUAAAGAGCUCGUAGGCGGUCUGUCGCGUCGGCUGUGAAAACCCGGAGCUCAACUCCGGGCCUGCAGUCGAUACGGGCAGACUGGAGUUCAGCAGGGGAGACUGGAAUUCCUGGUGUAGCGGUGAAAUGCGCAGAUAUCAGGAGGAACACCGGUGGCGAAGGCGGCUUCCUGGUCUGCAACUGACGCUGUGGCGCGAAAGCUAGGGGAGCAAACGGG